rnacentral:lncRNA from 1 species
GGCAUUUCAUUGCACUUAUUUCAGUGUGUGUUUGAGUUUAUUUUUCUUUUUAAUCGAAUCUCUUAACUCGAGCAGCAGUCGCUGUCUCGCUUUCACCCGCUGAAUGGAUGGUGGGAUGGUCGCCAAACGGCAGUCGAAAGCAUUGCCAGAUCCACUCAAAAGAUACCACGCACUCGUAAUAGAUCCGACCAUGAGAGGAGGCACUUAGGUGAGAGGGGGUGAGAGGGGGUGGAGAGGGGGGAGUGCCAUUUGGAGAGUCAGCUUUCUCAGUUACCGAAAACGCCGUUGUUUGCUG